rnacentral:rRNA from 1 species
UACGUAGGGUGCGAGCGUUAAUCGGAAUUACUGGGCGUAAAGCGUGCGCAGGCGGUUCGUUGUGUCCGAUGUGAAAGCCCCGAGCUCAACUUGGGAAUGGCAUUGGAAACUGGCGAGCUGGAGUGUGGCAGAGGGGGGUGGAAUUCCACGUGUAGCAGUGAAAUGCGUAGAGAUGUGGAGGAACACCGAUGGCGAAGGCAGCCCCCUGGGCCAACACUGACGCUCAGGCACGAAAGCGUGGGGAGCAAGCAGG